rnacentral:rRNA from 1 species
UACAGAGGGGGCAAGCGUUGUUCGGAAUUACUGGGCGUAAAGGGCGCGUAGGCGGCCGCCUAAGUCAGACGUGAAAUCCCUCGGCUUAACCGAGGAACUGCCCUCCAAACUGCUUGGCUUGAGACCGGGAGAGGUGAGUGGAAUUCCCAGUGUAGCGGUGAAAUGCGUAGAUAUUGGGAGGAACACCCGUAGCGAAGGCGGCACUCUGGGCCGAUACUGACGCUGAGGAGCGAAAGCGUGGGGAGCGAACAGG